rnacentral:lncRNA from 1 species
UGCAGCCUGGAACUCCCAGGUUCAAGCGAUUCUCCCACCUCAGCCUCCCAAGUUCAAGCGAUUCUCUUGCUUUAGCCUCCCGAGUAGCUGGGACUAUGGUUGUGUGCCACCACGCCCGGAUAAUUUUUGUAUUUUUAUGAGACUCUCUGUCUCAAAAAAAAAAAAAAAAAAAUGCAGAAAAUGCAAAUUGUGGGGUAGGGCACAAUGGCUCACGCCUG